GCUGUUCUGUGAUGAGUCUAUGGAAUAUGCGCUGGGCACAGCGCCCGAGUAAAACUGAGGAGCCAUUCCCUGUUGCCUUCCUUCUGAGAACAGC
ensembl:snoRNA